UACAGAGGUCCCAAGCGUUGUUCGGAUUCACUGGGCGUAAAGGGUGCGUAGGCGGUCGGGUAAGUCUGAUGUGAAAUCUCACAGCUUAACUGUGAAACUGCAUUGGAUACUAUUCGGCUUGAGGUCUGGAGGGGGGACUGGAAUUCUUGGUGUAGCAGUGAAAUGCGUAGAUAUCAAGAGGAACACCAGUGGCGAAGGCGAGUCCCUGGACAGGUCCUGACGCUGAGGCACGAAAGCUAGGGGAGCAAACAGG
rnacentral:rRNA from 1 species